AGCAGAGAUGGCUACUACUAUGAAGAAUGAAAGACCAGUGAGAAGAGUUCUACAAACCGUUCCAGAGAAGGCGACAAUGGAAGAUUGCCCAUGGGUGCUGUGAAUGGCAGCUGCUCACAAGAAGACUAAAACAGUGGACUCCCACAGGGGCCUCUGGUGGCUCAACAGAUUAAGCAGUCUGUUAUUAACACAGAUGCUUGCAAUUACUGCAAGUUCAAGCCCCACCAGGCCCAAGGUUGACUCAGCCUUCCAUCCUUUAUAAGGAGACCGUCAUCAUCAAAUAUGCUGCCAGGGCUGUGGAGAUGCCAAGUAGGAAAAAAUAUAUAGUUAUUAUGGAAGCUGCAACACAUUUUGACAUAAUUCCUAUCAUUUCUGGGACUUGCAAAACUAUGUGCACAAUGUCAGUGAUUUUAUUCCCUUUUCCUUAAGCAGUAAAUAUAAAAAUACGUUAAAUAGGGCUUUCAGAGAAGUACAUUGCAGUCCAGAUGACCCACGACCAAGACUGAGUAGAUGUCUUGUAUUUCUGUUUGCUGGGAGCAGCAUGGUGAGAACAAGCUUUACAGUGAGCUAGCCAGGCAAGUAGAUUCCUGCUUCCUAGUCCUGUAAAUUGGUACCUGUACUGUAGCUUCCAAACAAUUUCCCCAUCAUGUGUUUUUAUAAUUCAAUCUGGAAGCUACAUGGAUAAAAGUGCUAGUCACAUUCAACUGUCAUGCAAAGCCAGGAAAGGAGACACACCUGGUCCCCAAUAUUAUCUGAAAAGUAGCAGAGCAGGUAAUGUCGUAAUGCCAUGUGUAGUAAUAAGUUGCAAAAUACACAGGAAUAAACCCUUUCGACAUUGCUGUACAACUGGAUGUGCAAUUGAUAUAAAUAAUGAUCAGAAAGUCUCAAGCAAAUCAAGUAUCAUCAGUGAGUGAGUUAUAAAGGCCUGGGGGAAAAGUCCCCAAAGGUCCCCUUGACAUUUGAGGGACAUUUACCCCAGGGGUGAAGUCCAGCAGGUUCUGACAGGUUCUGGAGAACCGGUAGCGGAAAUUUCGAGUAAUUGAGAGAAAUGGCAAAUACCACCUCUGGCUGGCCCCAGAUUGGGGAGGGAAUGGGGAUUUUGCAGUAUCCUCCCCCUGGAGUGGGGUGAGAAUGGAGAUUUUGCAGUAUCCUUCCCCUGCCACGCCCACCAAGCCAACCACGCCCACCAAGCCACACCCACAGAUCCGGUAGUAAACAGAAUUGGAUUUCACCACUGAUUUACCCCCCUUAACAUGGAAGGGCAGUUGGGGAACAAUUACCAAAGACAAUUUUAAGAGUACAAAUAAGUACACAUAGAGAGGGAUAGUUCUCCAGAAACUGUUUUUCCUGAGUUAUGAAAUGUAAUAUGAUUGAAUGUCAAACUAUGAUCAGAAAUAAACUGAGAGCCAAUAAAAUGUGUGAAUCUAGUGUAAUACGUUUACAUAAUACCUUGUUUCAUUCAGUUAACUUUUGCUGC